rnacentral:rRNA from 1 species
GAUGAACGCUAGCUACAGGCUUAACACAUGCAAGUCGAGGGGAAACGACAUUGAAGCUUGCUUCGAUGGGCGUCGACCGGCGCACGGGUGAGUAACGCGUAUCCACCUGCCUCUGACUAAGGGAUAACCCGGCGAAAGUCGGACUAAUACCUUAUGAGGUUUUCUGCAGACAUCUAAUGAAAACGAAAGAUUUAUCGGUCAGCGAUGGGGAUGCGUCUGAUUAGCUUGUUGGCGGGGUAACGGCCCACCAAGGCAACGAUCAGUAGGGGUUCUGAGAGGAAGGUCCCCCACAUUGGAACUGAGACACGGUCCAAACUCCUACGGGAGGCAGCAGUGAGGAAUAUUGGUCAAUGGGCGAGAGCCUGAACCAGCCAAGUAGCGUGCAGGAUGACGGCCCUAUGGGUUGUAAACUGCUUUUAUGUGGGGAUAAAGUGAGCUACGUGUAGUUUAUUGCAGGUACCACAUGAAUAAGGACCGGCUAAUUCCGUGCCAGCAGCCGCGGUAAUACGGAAGGUCCAGGCGUUAUCCGGAUUUAUUGGGUUUAAAGGGAGCGUAGGCCGUGGACUAAGCGUGUUGUGAAAUGUAGACGCUCAACGUCUGAAUUGCAGCGCGAACUGGUUCACUUGAGUAUGCACAACGUAGGGGAAUUCGUCGUGUAGCGGUGAAAUGCUUAGAUAUGACGAAUAACUCCGAUUGCGAAGGCAGCUUACGGGAGCACAACUGACGCUGAAGCUCGAAGGUGCGGGUAUCAAACAGG